rfam:Schistosoma rodhaini strain Burundi genome assembly, scaffold: SROB_scaffold0005270
AUCCAGUUGAUGAGUCCGAAAUAGGAUGAUGUGGCGCGCGUCCUGGAU